ACACAUCAAAAACUUGUGGGAUGCAGCUAAAACAGUCCUCAGCGCUAGCGUUCUUAACCUCAGGUAUGAGUGUACUAACUUGACCAUUCACUGAUUGUAGAACAUUUCAGUUGUUUCUGAUUUUUGACUAUGAACAAUUGUGUACAUGUUUUUGUGUGAAUAUGCUUCAUUUCUCUGGGAUAAAUGCCCAGUAGUAUGAAUGCUGAAUUGUAUGGUUUAAAUGUACGUUUAGUUUUUAAAGAAUCUUCCAAACCAUUUUCCAGAGUACUGUACCAUCUUACAUCCCCAUCAGCAAUGUAUGACAAGUCAGAUUUAUCUGCAUCUUCAGCAUUUGGCAUUGUCACUCUUUUAAUUUUAACUGUCCUAUUAGAUGUGUAGUGAUAUUUCCUUCUGGUUUAAUUUGCAUUCCCCAAUGGCUUGUGAUGUUGAAGUUUCAUGUGCUUAUUUGUUACCUUAUGGUCUCUUGGGUGAAAUGUCUCCUCAUAUUUUUUUUUAAAUCUAUUUUCUGCUUGGCUUGUUUGUUAUACUGUUGAGUUUUUUAAACAUUAUGGUAAAUGACACAUUACAUAAAAUUUACCAUCUUAAUCAGUUUUAAAUGUAUAAUUCAUUAGUGUUAAGUAUAUUCACAUUGUUGUGCAACCAAUCUCCAGAAUUUUUUUAUCUUGCAAAACGGAAACUCCAUACCCAUCAAGCCAGGGGUUCCCAACCCCUAGGCCAUGGACCAGUACCAGUCUGUAAGAACUGGGGCUGCACAGCAGGAGGUGAGCAGCGGGUGAGCAAGGAUUACCGCCAGAGUUCUGCCUCCUGUCAGAUCAGGGGCAGCAUUAGAUUCUCAUAGGAGUGUGAACCUUAUUGCAAACUGUGCACGUGAGGGAUAUAGGUUAUGUGCUCCUUAAAUUAUGAGAAUCUAAUGCCUGAUGAUCUGAGGUGCAACAGUUUCAUGGCAAAACCAUGCCCCUGCCCAGGUCCUUGGAAAAAUUGUCUUACAUGAAACUGGUCCCUGGUGCCAAGAAUGUUGGGGACUGCUGCAUUAAACAACCAUUACCCAUUUUUCCCUACCCUUGUCCCUGAUAACCACCACUCUACUAUUUGUUUCUAUGAAUUUGACUACUCUAGAUACUUCAUAUAAGUAGAAUCAUACAGUAUUUUUCUUUUUGUGACUGGAUUAUUUCACUUAGCAUAAUGUCCUUAAGGUUCAUCCAUGUUGUGUUAUGUGGUAUGUGUCAGAAUUUCCUUCUUUUUUAAGGCUGAAGAAUAUUCCACUGUGUGUGUAUUAUACAUACUGAGUGUGUAUAAUAUGUUUUAUCCAUUCAUCCGUUGAUGAACACGUGGGUUCCUUCCACCUCUUGGCUAUUUUGAAUAAUGUUGCCAUAACAUGCAUGGGUUUACAAAUAUUUGUUCAAGAUUCUGCUUUCAGUUUUUUUUGGGAUAUAUACCCAGAAGUAGAAUUUCUGCAUCAUCUGGUAAUUCUAUUUUUAUUUUUUUGAUGCUAUGUAUGUUUGCUCCAUACUGUUUUCCAUAGAGGCUGCACCACAUUACAUCACCACUAAUAAUAUAUAAGGGCUCCAGUUUCUCUACGUCCUUGACAACACUUAUUUUCUGUUUUUUGUUUGUUUGUCUGUUGGUUGUUUGGUUUGUUUAAAUAGUAGCUAUCCUAAUGAGUAUGAGGUGAUACACUGUUGAGUUUUGAGAGUUUUAAAAUAUAUCCUGGAUACUAGUCCUUUAUCAGGUAGUUUGAAAAUAGUUUCUCUCAGUCUGUAGCUUGCCUUUUUAUCCUGUAAAUAUGGUCAUUUUCAGAGAAAAUUUCAUAUUUUUGAUAAAGUUCAAUUUAUUACUUUUUUCCUGUAUAGAUUGUGCUUUUGGUGUUAUAUUAAACUUGAUGAGUUCUUCAUCAAGCCCUAGGUCCAGAAGAUUUUCUCAUGUUUUCUUCUAAAAGUGUUUAUAGUUUUAUGUUUUACAUUUAAGUCUAGGAUGUAUUUGAGUCAAUUUUUUUACGUAAGGUUUAGGUCAAGUUUCCUUUUUUAAGCCUAUGAAUAUCCUAUUACUCCAACAUCAUUUGUUGAAAAUAAUAUUGUAUUUAUUUAUUUAGCCUGUUAAUAUGGUGAAUUACGUUGAUUGAUUUGCAAAUAUUGA
rnacentral:lncRNA from 1 species